rnacentral:rRNA from 1 species
CGUGCCUAAUACAUGCAAGUCGAACGGGAGCACAUGUGCUCCAGUGGCGAACGGGUGAGGAAUACAUAGGUAACCUGCCCCUCCGAGGGGGACAACAGCUGGAAACGGCUGCUAAAACCGCAUAGGCAUGCUCUUCGCAUGAAGAGGAUGUCAAAGAGCCUUAUGGGCUCGCGGGGGGAUGGACCUAUGCCGCAUUAGCUAGUUGGCGGGGCAACGGCCCACCAAGGCGACGAUGCGUAGCCGGCCUGAGAGGGCGGACGGCCACACUGGGACUGAGACACGGCCCAGACUCCUACGGGAGGCAGCAGUAGGGAAUUUUCGGCAAUGGGCGAAAGCCUGACCGAGCAACGCCGCGUGAGUGAAGAAGGCCUUCGGGUCGUAAAGCUCUGUUAUGAAGGAAGAACGUCCAUCAUAGGAAAUGAUGGUGGAGUGACGGUACUUCAUGAGAAAGCCACGGCUAACUACGUGCCAGCAGCCGCGGUAAUACGUAGGUGGCGAGCGUUACCCGGAAUCAUUGGGCGUAAAGAGGGGGCAGGCGGCGAUAGAGGUCUGCGGUGAAAGCCUGAAGCUAAACUUCAGCGAGCCGCGGAAACCAGAUGGCUAGAGUGCGGUAGAGGAUCGUGGAAUUCCAUGUAUAGCGGUGAAAUGCGUAGAUAUAAGGAAGAACACCAGUGGCGAAGGCGGAUGACUGGACGACAACUGACGGUGAGGCGCGAAAGCGUGGGGAGCAAACAGGAUUAGAUACCCUGGCAGUCCACGCCGUAAACGAUGAUCACUCGCUGCUAGCGAUCCACAGUUAGCGGCUAAGCAAAAGCAUUAAGUGAUCCACCUGGGGAGUACGGCCGCAAGGCUGAAACUCAAAGGAAUUGACGGGGGCCCGCACAAGCGGAGGAACAUGUGGUUUAAUUCGAUGAUACGCGAGGAACCUUACCUGGGCUUAAAUGUAGAGUGCAUUCAGCUGAAAGGCUGAUUUCCUUCGGGACCUUCUGCAAGGUGCUGCAUGGUUGUCGUCAGCUCGUGCCGUGAGGUGUCGGGUUAAGUCCCAUAACGAGCGCAACCCUUAUCGUUAGUUGCCAGCGGGUAAUGCCGGGAACUCUAACGAAACUGCCGGUGUAAACCGAGAGGAGGGUGGGGAUGACGUCAAAUCAGCACGGCCCUUAUGUCCAGGGCUACACACGUGUUACAAUGGCCGGUACAGAGGGCAGCUAUGCCGCGAGGCAAUGCGAAUCUCGAAAGCCGGUCUCAGUUCGGAUCGGAGUCUGCAACUCGACUCCGUGAAGCUGGAUUCGCUAGUAAUCGCGCAUCAGCCAUGGCGCGGUGAAUACGUUCCCGGGCCUUGUACUCAACGCCCGUCA